rnacentral:rRNA from 1 species
AGUGAACGCUGGCGGUAGGCCUAACACAUGCAAGUCGAACGGCAGCACAGUAAGAGCUUGCUCUUACGGGUGGCGAGUGGCGGACGGGUGAGGAAUACAUCGGAAUCUACUUUUUCGUGGGGGAUAACGUAGGGAAACUUACGCUAAUACCGCAUACGACCUACGGGUGAAAGCAGGGGAUCUUCGGAUCUUGCGCGAUUGAAUGAGCCGAUGUCGGAUUAGCUAGUUGGCGGGGUAAAGGCCCACCAAGGCGACAAUCCGUAGCUGGUCUGAGAGGAUGAUCAGCCACACUGGAACUGAGACACGGUCCAGACUCCUACGGGAGGCAGCAGUGGGGAAUAUUGGACAAUGGGCGCAAGCCUGAUCCAGCCAUACCGCGUGGGUGAAGAAGGCCUUCGGGUUGUAAAGCCCUUUUGUUGGGAAAGAAAAGCAGCAGGUUAAUACCCCGCUGUUCUGACGGUACCCAAAGAAUAAGCACCGGCUAACUUCGUG